rnacentral:rRNA from 1 species
CCUACGGGUGGCAGCAGUGAGGAAUAUUGGUCAAUGGACGCAAGUCUGAACCAGCCAUGCCGCGUGCAGGAAGACGGCCCUAUGAGUUGUAAACUGCUUUUGUACGGGGGUAAACGCAGAUACGCGUAUCUGUCUGAAAGUACCGUACGAAUAAGGAUCGGCUAACUCCGUGCCAGCAGCCGCGGUAAUACGGAGGAUUCAAGCGUUAUCCGGAUUUAUUGGGUUUAAAGGGUGCGUAGGCGGUCGGAUAAGUUAGAGGUGAAAUCCCGAGGCUUAACUGCGGAAUUGCCUUUGAUACUGUGCGGCUAGAGAGUAGUUGCGGUAGGCGGAAUGUAUGGUGUAGCGGUGAAAUGCUUAGAGAUCAUACAGAACACCGAUUGCGAAGGCAGCUUACCAAGCUACUUCUGACGUUGAGGCACGAAAGCGUGGGUAGCAAACAGGAUUAGAUACCCCUGUAGUC